CCUCGGGUGGCAGCAGUGGGGAAUAUUGGACAAUGGGCGAAAGCCUGAUCCAGCCAUGCCGCGUGUGUGAAGAAGGCCUUCGGGUUGUAAAGCACUUUCAGUGGGGAAGAAAGCCUUGGGGCUAAUACCCUCGAGGAAGGACAUCACCCACAGAAGAAGCACCGGCUAACUCCGUGCCAGCAGCCGCGGUAAUACGGAGGGUGCGAGCGUUAAUCGGAAUUACUGGGCGUAAAGCGCGCGUAGGCGGUCUGAUAAGCCGGUUGUGAAAGCCCCGGGCUCAACCUGGGAACGGCAUCCGGAACUGUCGGGCUAGAGUGCAGGAGAGGAAGGUAGAAUUCCCGGUGUAGCGGUGAAAUGCGUAGAGAUCGGGAGGAAUACCAGUGGCGAAGGCGGCCUUCUGGACUGACACUGACGCUGAGGUGCGAAAGCGUGGGUAGCAAACAGGAUUAGAUACCCCUGUAGUC
rnacentral:rRNA from 1 species